UGGGGAAUAUUGCACAAUGGGCGGAAGCCUGAUGCAGCAACGCCGCGUGAGUGAUGAAGGCCUUCGGGUUGUAAAGCUCUGUCUUUUGGGACGAUAAUGACGGUACCAAGGAGGAAGCCACGGCUAACUACGUGCCAGCAGCCGCGGUAAUACGUAGGUGGCAAGCGUUGUCCGGAUUUACUGGGCGUAAGGAUGCGUAGGCGGAUUUUUAAGUGAGAUGUGAAAUACCCGGGCUUAACUUGGGUGCUGCAUUUCAAACUGGGAAUCUAGAGUGCGGGAGAGGAGAAUGGAAUUCCUAGUGUAGCGGUGAAAUGCGUAGAGAUUAGGAAGAACACCAGUGGCGAAGGCGAUUCUCUGGACCGUAACUGAC
rnacentral:rRNA from 1 species